UGAGGAAAAGUAAAAGUAAUUUUGUCAUUUCCUGAAACUUCAAGUUAAACCUUUAAGCUGUUCAUUUCCUAAAAGGGUGAAAACGCGGGCACCCCUCGAGCUAGUUCAUCGCCUUUUAACCUGCAGACCGAAGUGACAUCACAUUUGAGGUGCAAUCAAUAUAAUUAAUCACCUUGGAGGUGAGACAUAUUGGUUCUCAAGAACUGGGUCUGACGUCAAAGGAGAGCAAUCUUGCAAGUGCAGAAGAAAGGAGUAUCAAACAGUGCACCUAUCUUGGGGACCUCGACCUUCCAAUAAAUCACAUCAUAGCACACCUACCAUGACAAUAUUUCACAUUUUCAAAACAAUUUUGGUGUUGUUGGAUCUUUCCAGAUCACCACACCACAUCACCCAGCCACUCUGCCCAAUGGGAGGGCAGACAGUGUUCCAGUGUAGGAGGAAGGGGUGUAAGGUGCGGGCAGUUUGUGAGGAGGGCACCAACGAGAGCUACUGUGAGAAAGUCUGCAUGGUCAAAAAGUGGAUUACCAAGAACAAAGCAUCAUAAUGUUGUCCAGUGGACCCCAGCCCCUUUUCUGAGGCCUCCCUUGGCCAGAUAUGAUUAAAUAUUUAUCAAACUAAGGACUCAGCUUACUUGGAGUGAAAACUCUUCAGGGCCUCUCAGAGAUACCUAAGAUAAGUACCUUAUUUUAGUAGCUCUCAAAUAAAGCUUCUUUUAUGCUCUGUCUUUUUCAUAUAUAAAAUAAGGUCUAAUUAGAAAGUUUUAUAAUGGAGGCAGUCAAUUCCCCAAUUCCUUAUUUGUUUGAAUUAACUUUUAAAAAAUUGGGGUGUUCACUCUGGCGUUGGCUCAAUCCAGACUCUGUAAUCAGCCAACAAUCUGUGCUUCACAAAGGCUGGCGUCCUAACUGCCAGCUUCUGCCAUCCGCACCUUUUCCGUGGGGUAAUACAUUUUAAUUGGUACUUCUCUGAGAGCCCUACACAUCUCCAUCUGGCCAAAUAAACAUACUUUUACUAUUCAGCCUCAACAUCUUGGCAGUUAACAAGAGGACAGACUUGCCACAAUGGGUAAUCUUUAAGAUGCAUAAAAUCCUAAAAUUAAAGGACCAGGUACAGGUGGUAUAAUCAAUGGCUGCCUAGAAGAUGGCUCAUCUACAAAGUGGCUUUGUGUUCCACAGUCUUUUUAACACUGCUCUUGUGAUCCUAAAUGCAGUUCCUGAGCCGAGUCAGCAUUGAGAGCUCUCUCCUCUCAAAGGGCACAUUAGUGAUGAAAUAUUUCACUUCCAAUGACAGCAUAACUUUUUGGAUAUAGGCUUAUUAGCAACGUGUUUCCACUGGUUGGAUUGAGCAAGUGUAACCAGAAGGCAGAAUGGUGAAAUGGUUAAGAGCAUGGGUUCUAGAGUCAGGCUGCGUUCAAAUUCUGCUGCUGUUAAUUUAUCUUUGUGACCUUGGGCAGUUACCAUACCUCUCUGUGCCUCAGUUUCCUCAUCAGUAAAGCAGAGAUAAUGUCAGUAUUUUCCUCAUAAGAGUAUUGCAAGGACUGAUUAAAUGAGAUAAGGUGUCUGAUAUGUUUAGCACAGGGCAUGACUUGUAUUUGCUAACAAUUAUUUUUAGGCAAGGUCAGUAGACCAAAUAACUUGAGCAGCAGAAAGGAAGUGGAAGGCGAAUAACCAGCUAUGAGGUUAUUUCUCAGAUAAUUUCUUCCUAUUUCAAUGCUUCACUUUUUACAGUUUAAUCAUCAAGCAACAGUGUUAGGGAUUACGUGAGAUAAUAUGGUCUGUGUGCUGAUUCACUCAUUUAGUGUGGUCUCAUUUCCUUAAAGAACACAUCUUGAGAGAACACUUUUUUUCUCUCUAACCCUCAGGGUCAUCUGGAUGAAAUGAAUACUUUUAGGGCAAAAUGGCUGAUACUGCUUCCUUGAUAACCACAUAUAGAAAACUGACAACUGUUUAGAACAAAGCCAAAGAUGAAACCAAAUAUAAAACCACUGAUGAAAACUAAGUGAAAAAUAUAAGCAAAAUAGAAGAAAAAUAAGGUCGUUAUUUCAAGAAAACGAAAGACAGUCAAUGCUGUUCUUUGUAUUCACAUACAAUUUGGUUCACACCAAAAUGUGAGUUGUUCUCUAUGAGAUGUUAUUAAAUGUUCCUAAGAAGACUCGCUUUAGAAAAAAACAGUAUUCCUAAGGCAUGUCCAAUCUGUCUCUUUUCUUAAUUGCUAUAGUUCUACUUUAUUAUUAUAAUGUAUUCAGCAUUAAAAUUCAUUAUUUCCC
ensembl:lncRNA novel transcript